CAAUAAUCAUGACCUUGGCUUGAAAGCUUCUCAAAUGGGACCGUAGUGAUGACUGUUGGCUCAGUGGGGAGGGAGCAGUGGCUUUCUAAAACCCCUCCCCACACAGGGCCUACCAGCCACAGAGUGGUAAUUUAGAGCCAGAUCCCUAAGAACUGGCACUGAGAGGAGGCUGGCUUCCUCCUCUCUACAGUUCCUGACCUGCAGCUCUGCAGGUUACUGUCCCACUGUGGUGGGCUCAGUGGGUGGCAAUUCAUCCGGACAUCAACCUAGGCCACGUCCACAUCUGGUACAAGAUGCUUCCCCAACAGCUCUGUGCGAGUGGCCACCUGACCUUGGCUGAGCUGCUCUGGGAUGCAAGAUUAAAAAAGCCCGGAAGCUGCAGCUCUAGGAAACGCAAAGCCCUUGAAGGUUUCUGAGGAGUCCGCAUAUUGAAGAAGAUUAAUCUGGGCGCAAAUCAGUAAACCACAACCGGUCUCUACACACGCACAUACACAGCACCAUCGCCACCAGGAAAAAGAACUGGAGGAACCAGCUAGUGGCCUUUGUUUACACCUUAUCUUGCAGCACCUUCAGAGCCCCACCUCAGAGGAAGCUAAGCCGGGGUCAUGGUCCCCUGGGCUCAGACUUCAUGUCCGUUAUCCUACAUAAGUUGUGAUUUUGAGAACUGGAGCCUGACAUGGUCCCAUUUUACAGGCUUGGGACAGUUCCACAACCCAGGUUGGAGGGAAAUGGCGCUCAAGUCUGGUUCCCCCCAGAUCUCCCAGGUGAUACAGCUUCUACCCCUGUUCCACUGAACGACCUCACUUCCACUGUGACCCGUCAGCUCAUCCAGGAUUCCUCAAACCAGCAUGUGUGACCCGCUUCAUCACAGCAGGAGAGCCCCAGGCUCUGUGGGAGACCACCCUCUGGGGUGUUUGGUCCGAAGAACCCCUGUGUGCGCAGUUUCCCCACACCCACCACCUCGGCUCCGGUUUGCUUUCGCGCUAUGAAUGUCUGCUUCCCCAUCUCAACGCUCCUGGGAGGAUGUCACAAACACGCACAGCCUCUGGCUCCACACACUCCCGCCUUGGCCCCAGGAGCCCCCGAUCAUCUCCCAGCCCUGCCCUCUGCCAGCUACCUUGUCCCAGUCCACCACUUUGAACUUUGGCUCCAUCAAAGGGUCUGUCUUCUGAGUGUUCACAGAGGUCACAGUCCCAUUCUCCAUGGAGCCCUGGGGAGAGAAGAUACAGGAAUUGCAGAGCCCGUGGGUCACAGGCUGGGGCAGCUAGGUCCACAUGCCCAUAAGAAAUGCAGCCCAGAGAAGAAGACGGUCCCUCUAGGAGCUCCCAUGUGUGGGUCAGCAGCUGUACAUGGGGCAGAACUGGCAGAGAGGUGCCCAGAUGGGCUCAAGGUGAAAUCGAAGUCGCAGAGAAGCCAAGUCAGAAGGAAAUGGAAUUGUGGAAUGUACCAGGAAAGUCACAUGGCUGCAGCUGGCCCUGACGUCAUGGGGUGGUGGUGAGGAGGCUGGGGAGGGCAGGAGAGAGGUGGGGAGAGCAAUGCCACUGGGAGGCCUGCCCUCAGAUGCCCCGUGACUAAAGCAUACUGUGGUGCUGGUGACCGUGGUGGGGACCCCGGAAGCAGGGUACUUGGCAAGGACUGAGGAGCCGAAGCAGCCCUCUGGAGUUUCUAUUGGCACAAUUCUUACGUUUUUGCUUCCAAACGAACCAAGAGAAACUGGGGGUGACGGCGAAGCUGGCAUUCUCUGGGGAAACCCAUAUCAACCCAAGUAAAAGUAGACUUCUGUGGUCCUGU